CUUCCGCUGCGAGCGGCCACACACGACGCGAACCCGAGCAGGAGGCAGGCAGGCAGGGGCUGCACUGCUGCAGGCCGGGCGCCAUCAAGCAGCAAGCAUGCUGGAGCUCCUGCUGGCGGGGUGCAGCAGUGUGGUGGUGCUCCUCCACGGCGCCAGCCUCUUCCUCCGCGCGCUCUUCGCCCCGCGCCACGCCGUCGCCAGGCCCAUCAGCUUCCUCGGGUUCGUGGCCUGACCGACGGAUCCGGUGAGGGGUCCCGGCCGAGGUGCGGGGAUCGUCGCCGACGGAUUAAGGGGAUCGCCGGUGUAAGUUCCGGAACAGAGCCCCUCGACCGAUGCAGAUAGCCUUGCUGGUCGUGUUCCUGUGGAUUGUGAGAAACACGAGUGCUCACUACGCGUGUAAGUUGCCCAAGUUACACCACAUCAACGAACUGUGCCCACAAGUUUAUUAGCUCGUGCAUCUCCCCUUGGUGCAACCUACCAAUUCCUUGACAGAAUAUCGUGCCUCAUUUGCAUGGCAUCGCCUACAUCCAGUGCAGCGCGCGCGCUACUGGCAAGUUCAGUAGAGUACAGCCGAAGAGCCAGGUCGGUGAUCUUCGAUCUGCGCACCAGCUCCACGGCGCGCAGAGUUUGGGUGCCUCGACGGCUCGAUGGAACCGGAUCCGCUGCAGUUACCCCCCCUGCAGUUGGGUCACUGCCACGUGGGCCCCACGCGUGCAGACCCCACACGCAGUGACUCUGCACGGCGGCCAACUGCAGCGGAGCCUCGUCCCGGCUCGACGGCCUGGCGGAUGGCACCGGUGUGACCUUUUGCCGAGGACUGGUGGACAGCCGCUGUUGGGUUGUGAACUUGUGAAUUGUGAUACCAACCCGCGGCGGGAGUUGCGCGCGGGUGCGGUGGAUUGGUUUAAUUGGUGAUGAGAUAGUGACCGGCAGCAGCUACGUGACCGCAACAACUCGACUAGUUCGUUGCACCGGCCGGCUGCCGGCCGGGUACGCGACUCCCUAAUCCCUUUUAUUUUACUGAGAAAUAUGCACAUGCAUUGCUAUAGAAAGAUAUAUAAAUAUACUGAUUCACAUAUAAAAAUUAUA